rnacentral:misc_RNA from 1 species
GGAACGUAAUGGAAGGGCUGCUUGCAGCUUGCCCGCUAAGCUGCUUUAUUAAAGAUUCUGAGCAAAACCUUCUUCGCGAAGUUGAUGAAGCAGAAACCGAAUCCCCUUCUCAUUGAAGUAGCUUAAUUAGGCGUUCUGCGAUUUUCUGGUAUAUAUAUGUGCUCCCUCUUUGGUCUGUUUCCAUAUGUGGAGAGUGCAGAGACAAGCCACCAAUAACCAACACUGAUUUUGAAUUCUCAGGCAUUCUGCUCACAGAGGAUUACCAUUAAUUCAAUGGCUUACAUUCCUCCACAUAAGCGGCA